rnacentral:misc_RNA from 1 species
GAUGAAGAACGUAGCGAAAUGCGAUAAGUAAUGUGAAUUGCAGAAUUCAGUGAAUCAUCGAAUCUUUGAACGCACCUUGCGCCCUUUGGACUUCUGAAGGGCAUGCCUGUUUGAGUAUCAUGAACACCUCAACUCCUUAUGGUCUUCCAUGAUGAGCUUGGACUUUGGGGGUUUUGCUGGCCUACAGUCAGCUCCUCUAAAAUAAAUCAGCUUACCGGUGUUUGGUGGGUAUCAUGGGUGUGAUAACUAUCUACGCUCGUGGUUUUCCACCAGGUAACCUUCAGCAGUGGAGGUUCACUGGAGCUCAUAGAUGUCUCUCCUCAGCGAAGACAGCCCUUUGAAUGUUUGAUCUCAAAUCAGGUAGGACUACCCGCUGAACUUAAGCAUAUCAAUAAGCGGAGGA